rnacentral:rRNA from 1 species
AUGGAGGACGUGGUGUUUCAAUCGAUAGCAGCCGGCCUGCAGGGCCUUCAGUUAGUGCAUGGGGUUAGUGGCCGAUCUGGGCGGCUGGGCUGGGCUUCGAGCUCGCCGGAAAUACAAGGGGCUGUUUAUGCGGCCGGAGGUGUUUGUGCGCCGGGAAAUCUCAUGUCCUCUCUCUCUCUUGUUUCUUCCUUGUCUCCGGUGAUCGCCGUGGUUCAAACAAACAUAGACGACGUCCUCCUCGAGAUCCUGUCGCGUGUCGCCGACGACAUCCCCACGCUCUUCCGCUGCGCGGUGGCGUGCAAGUCGUGGCGAACCCUCGUGGCCGACCCCUCUUUCCUCCUCCGAUGCUGGCCGGCGGGCGCGCGCCACCAGUCGUCCUUCCUCGGUCUCUUCCGGCCGUGGCCCGCGGAGCUCCGACGGGGCAUGGAUAUCCGGUCCGCCUGCCUUCGUCCCGGCGACGCGACCGCUUCUCAGCCCUCCGGCCAGCAUCAUCGGCUUACUGGACAGCGCCGUGCCACUUGCGUCACGCCAAGGCCUCCUGCUCGUGCAGCUCCUAGGACAGACAGAGACGGGACUACAGCUAGCCACAGCGGCGUCGUCCACAGCAACGUUGUGGCCUGCCGGGGCAAGCUACACAGGCUCGUCUGCCAUCUCUCGGGUACCUGCAACCUUUACACCUUUGAUUCGAGCAAUGAUGAGACCAGCUUAACGAAGCUCUCGAUUCCCUUGGACCAAUUUGGCGUCAGCUAUGAGAAACCACCAUGGCUUAGCGUCACCAUCGACGGCAAGUUAUCAUUGGUUAGCCUACACAACACGUUCCUACGGCUAGAGAUUUGGACACAUCAAGGUGAAAAAGACAGUGGUGAAAGCGCUGCCGACUGGCUGCGCACAAAGGUGAUCCAACUAAAACCCAUGAUGCCGCAUAUCAAACAAGCGUCAUGCAUGUGCGUGAGCGACAGGACAGGCACAUUGCUCAUCAUGGAUCAACUAGAGUUCCUGUGCAUAGUCAAUCUGGAAACCGGCGCAGUUGACAACGUUAUGACCCAGUUUUUCAGAAUGAAAGGAUAUAAUGUCCUGCCCUUUGAGAUGGAUUGGCCAGCCUUCUUCAUGUCUCGCUUGAAGAAACGGAAAAAAUAA